UAAAAACAAAUGUGAAUCAUGGAAUUACACAACUGCAGUUACAUCUUUUAUAACAGCCUCUUGCCUUUUGACUGACAGGAUGGAUGUUGCUUAACAAUAUGACAACUGCCACACAGAGGAUACAUUACACUAUGUGUGGACAUUGCAAUUUGAAAAACAGUCCAAGCGACAACAUCUGAAGAGUUAGUUUUGCAAAGUAACACCAUGACAAGCCUAUUUAGGAAAAUACCUUCUGCUUUCAAUGAGGUUAUGCAACCUGUCACCCAAGGCUAUGUUGUACUGAUAAGAAUAAUGAUUCGUAGAUGCGGGCAGGCGUGGAACAGAUGACACAUGGAGACAACUCACUGAAGACACAGAGAACACGAGGGAUCUUGGAAGACAAUGGAGACAGUGUCAGGAAAUGAACACAGAGAGAGGAUCCAAGUGCAAGUAAAACAGGAUUUAUUGACAGAAUACACUGUACAAUAACUUCACUCCAAAAGGACAGUCGUUGCAGUCACAAAGACGAGCUGACGCCGUGGUGUGUUGAAACAGAUGAACCGGGUGGCGCAGGGCUGCAACGGGUAUCAGAAGCCAAGGAAUAAUCCAACCCAGACGCGGGCACAAGACGAAGGUCCAGAACCCCAGGAUAACAGGAGGUGAAACACAGAAACACGACAGCGGGACAGCCUGCAACGAACUGACAAAGACGCCAUGUAGACACACACAAGAUAAAGCACACACAGAACAAGACACGGCUGGCAGCACAUCACAAUCAAUCAGGUGGGUGACACCCAUACAAUCAGUAACCAGGCAACCCACACCACAACCACACGAGGGCGAGUAAGUGAACCCAUGAACCGUGACAAACAGAUAGUAAUACUUUUUAAUUCAAUAGUCCACUUUAGACAUUCUACUAAGUAUAAGUAACUUUGCAUCUGCAUGCAUCAACUAGCAGUCUUAGGCUUGGUUUCACAGACAGGGCUUAGAUUAAGCCAGGAUUAGGCUAAAUUCAAUUAGGACAUUUAAGAAGCUUUUAUACGCAUACCAUAGAAAAAAUAUGAUAUUGAUGUGUAUCUUGAGACAAAACAAUAGCACUGACAUAAGAUAGCACUAAGAUAGCUCUGUGCAAGUUGCUUUCAGUUAAAAGGUGCCCUAGAUUCAAAAAUUUUAUUUACCUCGGCAUAGUUAAAUAACAAGAGUUCUGUACAUGGAAAUGACAUACAGUGAGUCCAAACUCC